UGCGUAGGCGGGUCUUUAAGUCAGGGGUGAAAUCCUGGAGCUCAACUCCAGAACUGCCUUUGAUACUGAGGAUCUUGAGUUCGGGAGAGGUGAGUGGAACUGCGAGUGUAGAGGUGAAAUUCGUAGAUAUUCGCAAGAACACCAGUGGCGAAGGCGGCUCACUGGCCCGAUACUGACGCUGAGGCACGAAAAGCGUGGGGGAGCAAACA
rnacentral:rRNA from 1 species